GACGAACGCUGGCGGCGUGCCUAAUACAUGCAAGUCGAGCGAAGUUUUUCUGGUGCUUGCACUAGAAAAACUUAGCGGCGAACGGGUGAGUAACACGUAAAGAACCUGCCUCAUAGACUGGGACAACUAUUGGAAACGAUAGCUAAUACCGGAUAACAGUAUUUCUCGCAUGAGAGAUAUUUAAAAGUUGUUUAUGCUAACACUAUGAGAUUGCUUUGCGGUGCAUUAGCUAGUUGGUGGGGUAAAGGCCCACCAAGGCGACGAUGCAUAGCCGACCUGAGAGGGUGAUCGGCCACACUGGGACUGAGACACGGCCCAGACUCCUACGGGAGGCAGCAGUAGGGAAUCUUCCGCAAUGGGCGAAAGCCUGACGGAGCAACGCCGCGUGAGUGAAGAAGGAUUUCGGUUCGUAAAGCUCUGUUGUUAGGGAAGAAUGGAUAUGUAGUAACUAUACAUGUAAGAGACGGUACCUAACCAGAAAGCCACGGCUAACUACGUG
rnacentral:rRNA from 1 species